rnacentral:rRNA from 1 species
UACGUAGGGAGCAAGCGUUGUUCGGAAUUACUGGGCGUAAAGAGUGUGUAGGCGGUGCUCCAAGUCUGGUGUGAAAUCUCCCGGCUUAACUGGGAGGGUGCAUUAGAAACUGGAAUGCUAGAGGAUGGGAGAGGUAAGCGGAAUUCCUGGUGUAGCGGUGAAAUGCGUAGAUAUCAGGAGGAACACCUGUGGUGUAGACAGCUUACUGGACCAUUUCUGACGCUGAGACACGAAAGCGUGGGUAGCAAACAGG